UGGGGAAUAUUGGACAAUGGGCGAAAGCCUGAUCCAGCCAUGCCGCGUGUGUGAAGAAGGUCUUCGGAUUGUAAAGCACCUUAAGUUGGGAGGAAGGGCAUUAACCUAAUACGUUAGUGUUUUGACGUUACCGACAGAAUAAGCACCGGCUAACUCUGUGCCAGCAGCCGCGGUAAUACAGAGGGUGCAAGCGUUAAUCGGAAUUACUGGGCGUAAAGCGCGCGUAGGUGGUUUGUUAAGUUGGAUGUGAAAUCCCCGGGCUCAACCUGGGAACUGCAUUCAAAACUGACUGACUAGAGUAUGGUAGAGGGUGGUGGAAUUUCCUGUGUAGCGGUGAAAUGCAUAGAUAUAGGAAGGAACACCAGUGGCGAAGGCGACCACCUGGACUAAUACUGACACUGAGGUGCGAAAGCGUGGGGAGCAAACA
rnacentral:rRNA from 1 species